rnacentral:rRNA from 1 species
GUCCAGACUCCUACGGGAGGCAGCAGUGGGGGAUAUUGCACAAUGGGGGAAACCCUGAUGCAGCGACGCCGCGUGGGUGAAGAAGCGCCUCGGCGCGUAAAGCCCUGUCAGCAGGGAAGAAGAAAGACGGUACCUGACUAAGAAGCCCCGGCUAACUACGUGCCAGCAGCCGCGGUAAUACGUAGGGGGCAAGCGUUAUCCGGAUUUACUGGGUGUAAAGGGAGCGUAGACGGCAUAGCAAGUCUGAAGUGAAAGCCCGUGGCUCAACCGCGGAACUGCUUUGGAAACUGUUAAGCUGGAGUACUGGAGAGGCAAGCGGAAUUCCUAGUGUAGCGGUGAAAUGCGUAGAUAUUAGGAGGAACACCAGUGGCGAAGGCGGCUUGCUGGACAGAGACUGACGUUGAGGCUCGAAAGCGUGGGGAGCAAACAGGAUUAGAUACCCCGGUAC